ACACCUCAGCUCUCAGAUCCAGCAGGUGGAGGCGGAGCUAAGGAGCCGAGCGGAGCAGGAGGCCCGGCUCCAACGGAUCAACAUCUGGAUCUCAGAGCAGAACCUCUGGAUGGACUUGGCCCAGACGCCCAGAAGCAGAACCGAGCUGGAGAAGAACCUGAACCGCUGCCAGGAGCUGGAGGAUAAAAUCCAUCUCCAGUCACUGGCUCUUCUGGAUCUUAAGGAGAA